rnacentral:rRNA from 1 species
AUUGAACGCUGGCGGCAGGCUUAAUACAUGACAAGUCGAACGGUAACAGCAGAAAAGCUUGCUUUUUUGGCUGACGAGUGGCGGACGGGUGAGUAAUACCUAGGAAACUGCCUAAACGAGGGGGAUAACAUUUGGAAACGAGUGCUAAUACCGCAUAUGCUCACAGCAACACAUGUUGCAGUGAGGAAAGGAGUAAUCCGCUAAUAGAUGGGCUUGCGUCUGAUUAGCUAGUUGGUGGGGUAACGGCCUACCAAGUCGACGAUCAGUAGCCGGACUGAGAGGUUGAUCGGCCACAUUGGGACUGAGACACGGCCCAGACUCCUACGGGAGGCAGCAGUGGGGAAUAUUGCACAAUGGGGGAAACCCUGAUGCAGCGACGCCGCGUGAGGGAAGAAGGUAUUCGUAUUGUAAACCUCUGUCUUCGGGGACGAUAAUGACGGUACCCGAGGAGGAAGCACCGGCUAACUACGUG